rnacentral:rRNA from 1 species
UGCGUAGGAUGCAAGCGUUGUCCGGAAUUAUUGGGCGUAAAGAGCGCGCAGGCGGUAUGACAAGUCAGAUGUGAAAGAGGCCGGCUUAACCGGCAAGGGUCAUUUGAAACUGUCAGACUAGAGUGCAGCAGAGGAUAGUGGAAUUCCCGGUGUAGUGGUGAAAUGCGUAGAUAUCGGGAGGAACACCAGUGGCGAAGGCGACUAUCUGGGCUGCAACUGACGCUGAGGCGCGAAGGCUAGGGUAGCAAACAGG